rnacentral:rRNA from 1 species
GAUGCUUUUGGUGAGGUGCCUUCCGAGUCCCCUGGAACGGGGCGCCAUAGAGGGUGAGAGCCCCGUCUGGUUGGAUACCGAACCUCUGUAAAGCUCCUUCGACGAGUCGAGUAGUUUGGGAAUGCUGCUCUAAAUGGGAGGUAUAUGUCUUCUAAAGCUAAAUACCGGCCAGAGACCGAUAGCGCACAAGUAGAGUGAUCGAAAGAUGAAAAGCACUUUGGAAAGAGAGUUAAACAGCACGUGAAAUUGUUGAAAGGGAAGCGUUUACGACCAGACUUAGGCCGGUUGAUCAACCAGCGUUCUCGCUGGUGCACUCUGCCGGCCUAGGCCAGCAUCAGUUCGUCUCGGGGGAUAAAGGCGUCGGGAAUGUAGCUCCCUCGGGAGUGUUAUAGCCCUUCGUGCAAUACCCUGAGGUGGACUGAGGUUCGCGCUCUGCAAGGAUGCUGGCGUAAUGGUCGUCAACGACCCGUCUUGAAACACGGACCAAGGAGUCGUCUUCGUAUGCGAGUGUUCGGGUGUAAAACCCCUACGCGUAAUGAAAGUGAACGCAGGUGAGAGCUUCAAAGGAAUCAUCGACCGAUCCUGAUGUUCUCGGAUGGAUUUGAGUAAGAGCAUACGGGGCCGGACCCGAAAG